rnacentral:rRNA from 1 species
AUUGAACGCUGGCGGCAUGCUUUACACAUGCAAGUCGAACGGUAACAGGCCGCAAGGUGCUGACGAGUGGCGAACGGGUGAGUAAUGCAUCGGAACGUGCCCAGUCGUGGGGGAUAACUACUCGAAAGAGUAGCUAAUACCGCAUACGAUCUAUGGAUGAAAGCGGGGGACCGUAAGGCCUCGCGCGAUUGGUGCGGCCGAUGUCAGAUUAGGUAGUUGGUGGGGGAAAGGCUCACCAAGCCAACGAUCUGAAGCGGGUCUGAGAGGACGACCAGCCACACUGGGACUGAGACACGGCCCAGACUCCUACGGGAGGCAGCAGUGGGGAAUUUUGGACAAUGGGCGCAAGCCUGAUCCAGCAAUGCCGCGUGCAGGAAGAAGGCCUUCGGGUUGUAAACUGCUUUUGUACGGAACGAAACGGCUCUGGUUAAUACCCGGGGCUAAUGACGGUACCGUAAGAAUAAGCACCGGCUAACUACGUG